rnacentral:rRNA from 1 species
UGGGCGACGACCGGCAAACGGGUGCGUAACACGUACGCAAUCUACCCACUACAGGGGAAUAGCCCAGGGAAACUUGGAUUAAUACCCCAUAUUAUAUGGAGUUGGCAUCAACUUCAUAUCAAAGCUUCGGCGGUAGUGGAUGAGCGUGCGGUUGAUUAGAUAGUUGGCGGGGUAACGGCCCACCAAGUCUACGAUCAAUAGCUGAUGUGAGAGCAUGAUCAGCCACACGGGCACUGAGACACGGGCCCGACUCCUACGGGAGGCAGCAGUAAGGAAUAUUGGGCAAUGGACGCAAGUCUGACCCAGCCAUGCCGCGUGAAGGAUGAAGGUCCUCUGGAUUGUAAACUUCUUUUAUCUGGGGCGAAAACAACUCUUUCUAGGGUUCUUGACAGUACCAGAGGAAUAAGCACCGGCUAACUCCGUGCCAGCAGCCGCGGUAAUACGGAGGGUGCAAGCGUUAUCCGGAUUCACUGGGUUUAAAGGGUGCGUAGGCGGGUUAGUAAGUCAGUGGUGAAAUCCCCGAGCUUAACUUGGGA